UUUUUUAUAAAAGUAAUUUAUUUGUUUAAAGUUUUAGUAUUUAGUAAAAAUUAAUUUAUAGAUUUAUAGUUUAAUAGUAUUGUAGAAGAAUUAAUUAAAUUUUUAAAAGAAUAUUUUUAGUACCUUUUGUAUCAGGGUUAAUUAAAAUUUUUAAUUUUUUUUUAAUUUCUCAAAAUUUAUAGAGUUAAUUUUAUUAUUAAUUUAUUGUGUUAUAAAUAUUUAUAAAAUAAUAUUAGUUUUGAAAUUUAAUUCGUUAUAUUAUAUUUAGUUAUUUAAGAUUUAAAUUUAAUUUAAAAUUUUAAAAGUUAUUUUGAUUUUAUAUAUUAAUAUUUUAAAUUUAAAUUAUUUUAGGGAUAAGCUUAAAAUUUUUAUAUAAUGAUUUAUUUAUUUUAAUAAUUUAUAGGAAUAGAAAUUUUUAUUUUAAGUUUGUAAAAAUUUAUUAUUUAUUUAUUUUUAAUUUAUUAUAGAUUUAUUUAUUUUUUUUAUUAAAUUUUAUUAAUUAAUAUUUAAUUUUUAGUAAUAAUGAUUAAAUUAGUAUAAUUUAUAUUUAUAAAUUAUGAAUUCGGCAAAAAUUAUUUUCAUCUGUUUAACAAAAACAUUGUAUUAAGUUUAAUUUAAUAUAGGAUCUGCUCAAUGAUUUAUUAAAUAGCUGCAGUAUUUUGACUGUGCAAAGGUAGCAUAAUAAUUAGUCUUUUAAUUGAGGACUUGUAUGAAAGAUUUGAUGAGAAAUAAACUUUAUUAUUUAUAUAAUUAAAACUUUAUUUUUAAGUAAAAAAGCUUAAAUUAUUUAAAGGGACGAUAAGACCCUAUAAAACUUUAUAAAUAUUGAUUUUAAUUUUUUUGGAUUAUAUAAAUAUUUUAAUUUUAUUAUUUAUUUUAUUGGGGGUGAUAAAAAAAAUUAUUAAACUUUUUUUAAAAUUUUACAUUAUUUAAUGAAUAUUUGAAUUAAAAUUUUUAAUUAGAGGAAAAAGUUACUUUAGGGAUAACAGCGUAAUUAAUUUUUUAAGUUCAAAUUUAAAAAUUAGUUUGCGACCUCGAUGUUGAAUUAAGAUUAAUCUUAGGUGCAAAAUUUUAAGUAUUAGGUCUG
rnacentral:rRNA from 1 species